rnacentral:rRNA from 1 species
UACGUAGGGUGCAAGCGUUGUCCGGAUUUACUGGGCGUAAAGAGCGUGUAGGCGGCCAAGCAGGUCCGUUGUGAAAACUGGAGGCUUAACCUCCAGACGUCGACGGAAACCGCGUGGCUAGAGUCCGGAAGAGGAGAGUGGAAUUCCUGGUGUAGCGGUGAAAUGCGCAGAUAUCAGGAAGAACACCAAUGGCGAAGGCAGCUCUCUGGGACGGUACUGACGCUGAGACGCGAAAGCGUGGGGAGCGAACAGG